rnacentral:rRNA from 1 species
UAAUAGCGUAUACUUAAGUUGUUGCAGUUAAAAAGCUCGUAGUCGGAUGUCGGGCUUGGGCAGGCUGUCGGCUUUUGUCAGACGGCAGGCUCGGGCCUUUCUGCCUGGGGACCGCGUCACACUUCACUGUGGGGCGUCGGGACGCAGGCCGUUUACUUUGAAAAAAUUAGAGUGUUCAAAGCAGGCCUACGCUUGAAUACAUUAGCAUGGAAUAAUGGAAUAGGACUUUGGUGCCAUUCUGUUGGUUUAUGGAACCGAAGUAAUGAUUAAUAGGGACAGUUGGGGCCGUUUAUAUUUCGUUGUCAGAGGUGAAAUUCUUGGAUUUACGAAAGAGAAACUUCUGCGAAAGCAUUCGGCAAGGAUGUUUUCAUUGA